rnacentral:rRNA from 1 species
UACGAAGGGGGCUAGCGUUGUUCGGAAUGACUGGGCGUAAAGGGCGCGUAGGCGGUUUGAUAAGUUUGGUGUGAAAGUCCUGGGCUUAACCUGGGGAUUGCACUGGAUACUGUUGGACUAGAGGUCGAGAGAGGAGAAUGGAAUUGCGAGUGUAGAGGUGAAAUUCGUAGAUAUUCGCAAGAACACCGGUGGCGAAGGCGGUUUUCUGGCUCGAAUCUGACGCUAAGGCGCGAAAGCGUGGGGAGCAAACAGG